rnacentral:lncRNA from 1 species
UUUUUUUUUUUUAACCAAUACACCUGCAGUAUAAGAAGUUCCCAGGAUAGAGGUUGAAUUGGAGCUGCAGCUGCAGGUCUACGCCACAGUCACAGCCACACAUUGGAUCCGAGCCACAUCCACGAUCUAUGCUGCAGCUUGCAGCAACACCGGAUCCUUAACCCACUGAGCGAGGCCAGGGAUCAAACCCCCAACCUUGUGGACACUAUAUAUCGAGUUCUUAACCUGCUGAUCCACAAUGGGAAAUAAUCCUUAUUUUACUCAUAAAGAGACUGAGGCUCCCAGAGAGAGUCGGUGGAGAGCUGGCCUUGGCCUCAGGGCCUGUGUUCACUGCAGUAAGUGAGGUUUCUGACCACAAAUACUUGCACACACACACACAAUCACUUUGGGUCCCCCAAAUCACCUGGCCUGACAGGAAUGAAGGAAGGGGCUGCAGGCUUUUGAUAUUAGUUCAUUUUCUGAGUCUGACCAGGGCAGUCUCUAUGCUAAGCACUUUAGCUGCAACGUUUUAUUUUUUGGUUUUUGGUUUUUGUUUUAGGACUGCACCAGCAAGUUCUCAGGCUAAGGGUAAAAUCAGAGCUGUAGCUGCUGGCUUACACCACAGACACAGCCAUACCAGAUCCGAGCCUCAUCUGUGACCUACUCCACAGCUCAUGGCAACACCGGAUCCUUAACCCACUGAGCGAGGCCAGGGAUCGAACCCACGUCUUCAUGGAUACUAGUCGGCUCAGUACUGCUGAGCCACAACAGGAAUUUCCUAUCUUAUUGAAACCCCGUGAUUGUGCUGACACUUAGGAGCUCAGAACUCUGCUUGUGUUAUGGGAAACUCAGAAAGUCUAGGCAGGAGCAAACUUAAUGCACUGGAACAACGAGAAAGUGGGAUUAUCACUGACCACAGAGUGUGAAGCAUGUGGGCAGGAUGGGGGCGAAAUUACGUGAUGGAGCAUUGUGUCCAGCUUUCCUGUAUAUGACAGAAAGAAUUUUGUCUGCAUCUGCUCCAAUUCUCCCCCUUGGUCUAUCUGUACCCUCUGAGGAGAGCCUGGUCUCAAAACUUGGGGUAUUGGAUCUGAGGAAUGGAGGAGAGAUCUGAGAUCUGGAGGAGAGAAUUUGGUGAGCUGGGUAGCAAAGCACCAAGAUGGGGAGAGGGAAAGAGAGGAGAGAGAGAGAGACACACAGAGCAGGGACUGGGGUUGGGGAGCAGCAGACCUGGGGCAGCCCCACGAUGCGAGCAAAUGGGUGAGAAAAGAAGGGAGGGUUUGGAGACGCGUGUGCUGCAGCGUGUGAAUGGUCAAGGGAACCGUGAGGAGGGUGGCAGGGUGGCCAGCCCUCCACAGCCCCGAGUCUUUGCAGAAACUCAGUCACCUGAUGCCAACUAAUUUAGGGUGUAAGAAGGAGGUGAAGAAAUUGGGGACAAUGGAAUUCCCGUCGUAGCGCAGUGAAAACAAAUCCGACUAGUAUCCAUGAGGAUGCGGAUUCGAUCCCUGGCCUGGCUCAAUGGGUUAAGGAUUGGGCGUUGCCGUGAGCUGUGGUGUAUGUCGCAGACGCAGCUCAGAUCUGGUGUGGCCCUAAAAAGCAAAAUAAAUAAAUAAAUAAACAAAUAAAUAAAUAAAAUAUACAUAUAUGGGGAAGUUCCUGGUGUCCCAGUGCUUAGGAAUCCGAGCUUUAACUGCUGUGGCCCCAGGUUCAAUCCCUGGCCUGGGAACUGAGAUCCCACCCACAUCAAGCCACUGCAUGCUGCAGCCAAAAAUAUCAAUAAUAAAAUAAAUAAAAUAUACUCAUAUGUUACUACAGUUAAUUCUGUAGGAGAGAAUUGCAGAUGAUCUUUAUUUUCUACAUUUCAUUUAUAUAAUUAUUCUAAUUUUAAGUGUACUGUUUGUGUUAUUAAACCAGUUUAUUUCUCUAUAAUAGGUACCAUUCACCUGGCCCCACAGGAAUUAUUCCAGACAGACAAUAUGUACCAGAGAGACGUUUAAUUAAUCAAGAACAGAGUGACAGACUCCCUCAGGAACCCAGCUGAGAGAAAACAACAUUUAAUAACCUUAUAGGGAGAUCUGAGUUCAAUCGCUCAGCCUUAAAUGAACAGAACAAAUGUAUAUAUAACAGAUGCAGGACUCUCCAGAAAUAAUAAAGCCCUGGGAGAGAGAGCAACGCUUCCUCUCUGCGCUUUGUUUUUUAAAUAGAUUUUGCCCCUUUCCAACCUGGGAACAAAUGUUCCAGGCACCUCAUAAACUAUACGGAAGAAUUAUUGGGGGGAUUUUUUAGUGCAAAGUUGACAAACAUUUGGAAACCAUCAAUGACCACAGCAUUCUCAGAUGAUCUGAGUACCCACUUAAUCACAGCAAGGUUUGAAAACAGUUUUGAAGUCUGAAUUACACAUGCAAUUCCCCCAAAUCUGCACAAAAACAAAGACAAGUCCAUGCACUUAAAAUUGUUAGUUUUUAUUACUGUUUGCUUUUUGGUCACACUCUAAAUGUGUUUUCCGGAGAAUCUACUCAAGCCUAAUGCACCUGCUGAAAACACACACACACAGUAAGUUUAACCUCUGCACUUACAUACCACCUUCCAUCCAUGGAUCUUGAGUGGGCUGUCAGAAAUGUUUUCAUAAGUCCCCAGUGAGAUGGGUAAAUAUUGUUACCUCCAUCUUAUAUGCAGAUAAACUUAAACAUGGGGCCAGCUAAGUGGCUUGUCAACGGUUAUAACCCAAGACGAAAUCCAUGCAAGCCAACUUCUAGUCUCCCUUCCUCUGCUGACUGUGCCUUU